UGGCUCAGUUGGUAGAGCAUGGUGUGUGCAACGCCAGGGUUGUGGGUUCCAUUCCCAC
rnacentral:tRNA from 1 species